AGAGUUUGAUCCUGGCUCAGAACGAACGCUGGCGGCAGGCCUAACACAUGCAAGUCGAGCGCACCUUCGGGUGAGCGGCGGACGGGUUAGUAACGCGUGGGAAUAUGCCCAAAGGUACGGAAUAGCCUCUGGAAACGGAGAGUAAUACCGUAUGUGCCCUUCGGGGGAAAGAUUUAUCGCCUUUGGAUUAGCCCGCGUUGGGUUAGGUAGUUGGUGGGGUAAUGGCCUACCAAGCCUACGAUCCAUAGCUGGUUUGAGAGGAUGAUCAGCAACACUGGGACUGAGACACGGCCCAGACUCCUACGGGAGGCAGCAGUGGGGAAUCUUAGACAAUGGGCGCAAGCCUGAUCUAGCCAUGCCGCGUGAGUGACGAAGGCCUUAGGGUCGUAAAGCUCUUUCGCCAGGGAUGAUAAUGACAGUACCUGGUAAAGAAACCCCGGCUAACUCCGUGCCAGCAGCCGCGGUAAU
rnacentral:rRNA from 1 species